GUCGGCCAUCUUGGCCGUGUCAUGUGACCCAGCGGGCGGGCGGGCGCGGGGUGGGUGCGGGCGGGCGCGGGGUGGGUGCGGCCGGGCACCGCCUUUCCCUUCGGUGGGCGAGAUUUUUCUCCCUCUUCACCGCCUCGCCUUCCCUCUGUUUCGAAAGGUUCGGGAAAGUCCAAGUCAUAACAUAAAAAGUGUGCGUAUUCCCGGCCGCCGGCAGGACCUGUUCGCGGGGAAGUUCCUCUUGAACUUUCUCCGAGGACAGUUGUGCACCCUGCCCGGCGCUUCACGGGGUUCCCUGGCCGUCGUUGGCUUUGUGACACCAUUUCCUCUUUUAAAUUUUCAUUUCAUGUUCUAUAUUUUCCACUUCGUCAUUUUUCUGUAGCACUCAUUAGAACAAGCCCCGAAAGGGCGACUAAGGAAACGCACAGGCGAGGCAGGAAAGCAGGAAUUUUUUUUUUUUUAAUCUAAUGACUAUGACGGCUUGGCAAGAAAGAGUGCACGAUAGUGGACUGGAAAUCAGAGCUGGCUUCUCCUAUUGAUUAGUUAAGUGGGUAACAAAAAGCCGACCUCAUUAUUAAAUAAGAUUUGCAGUAAGGACCACAUGGCAGAUGUUAGCGAUUGUGACUACUAUCUCUAGUAUCCAACUGUGUGGCCUGGAAGAGUUACGAGAAUAAAGAUGGCACAAAGUACAACUGUAUGCCCUUGACCCCAAUUCACCUGGAGCUCACGUUUACUUCAUUCGUGUCAUCAUCUGCAUGUGCUCCCUCUCUGGAUCUGUAUGGAUAUAAGCACAUUUUUCCUUGGACUUUGUGAGGGUAACCUUGGUGGACCCCUGUAACUGCCUGGCUCUAGGAUUCCUCGUCUGCACAAGAGCGAUGCUGCCUCAUGAGCUUGUGGGGACUCUCAGAUGCUGAGCUUUUUACGUAAAAAAAUAGCACAGGACUACAUGAGUGUAUUCUCAUUGCAAAAAAUCAAAACAUGGAAAAGCAAAAGUGCAAGUUUCUGUUCUCCAAACUUCCUUACCCCCUCCGCCCCCCACCUGCCCAAUUCCUUCCCUUCCCUUUCUGGGUAUCCAUAUAGACAGUUUCCUUCACAUUUACUUACAGACAUAGACUUAUAUGACAAAUAGUUUUGUUUUUAGUGUUUCCCUCUAACAUUUUGUCCAGAAAAACAUAUAGAAAAGUUGAAAGAAUUGCAGAAUGAACACUCUUACAAUCACCUAGGUUUUAGAGUAAACACUUUGCUGUACUGCGUUAUCACACGCCUCCUUAUUUACCCAUGCUUCCUUUCCUCCAUCCGUCCUUUUACACUUUCACUUUAGCAUACAGUGAGUUGCACCAAUCUAGAGUCAACAUUGUGUAAGGGUUUUUUUGUUUUCGUUGUUGUUUUUUGAGAUAGGGUCUUGCUCUGUCUCCUAGGCUGGAGUGCGGUGGCAUGCAUGAUCUUGGCUUACUGCAACUCCUGCCUCCUGGGCUCAAGCGAUCCUCCCGCCUCAGCCUUCUAAGUAGCUAGGACCACAGGCACCCACCACCCUGCUCGGCUAAUUUUUGUAUUUUUUGCAGAGAUGGGGUUUCGCCAUGUGGCCCAGGCUGGUCUUGAACUCCUGAGCUCAAGCUAUCUGCCCACCCAGGCCUCCCACAGUGCUGGGAUUACAGGUGUGAGCCACUGGACCUGGCCUAUUUCUUUACUUUAAAACCUCAGAAGAUAACUUACCUCAAAUAAAAAAUUACUAAAAUUAAGGAUUUCUAAUUGGCUGAUUCUUUUUGUUUUUAAUUUGUGGUAAGAACAUUUAACAUGGGAUCUACCCUCUUCACAAAUUAAGUGGACAAUGCAGUAUUAUGAAUUCCAGGCACGACGUUGUGCAGCAGAUAACACGUUCAUCAAUGGGCUGAAACUUUCAACCCAUUGAACAGCAACUCCCCACUUCCUCCUCCCCUCAGCCUCUGGAAACUACCAUUGUACUCUCUGCUUCUGUGAGUUUGACUAUUUUAUUUUAAUUAAUUCAUUAUUUUUUUUAGACAGAGUCUCGUUUCGUCACCCAGGCUGGACAUGAUCUCGGCUCACUGCAACCUCCACCUCCCAGGUUUAAGUGAUUCUCCUGCCUCAGCCUCCUGAGUAGCUGGGAUUCUAGGCGCCUGCCGCCAUGCCCAGCUAAUUUUUACAAUAUUUUUAGUAGAGACGGGGUUUCACCAUGUGGCCAGGCUGGUUUUGAACUUCUGACAUCAAGUAAUCUGCCCACCUCGGCCUCCCAAAGUGAUGGGAUUACAGGCAUGAGCCACCACACCCAGCUGGUUUCCUUUUUUUCUUUUUUCUUUUUCUUUUUUGAGAGGGAGUCUCACUCUGUCCCCCAGGUUGGAGUGUAGUGGAAUGAUCUCAGCUCACUGCAACCUCCGCCUCCCAGGUUCAAGUGAUUCUCCUGCCUUGCCUCCUGAAUAGCUGAGACUACAGGCACGCACCACCACGCCCAGCUAAUUUUUGUAUUUUUCGUAGCGAGAGACUGGGUUUCACUAUGUUGGCCAGGCUGAUCUCGAACUUCUGACCUUGAGUGAUCCACCUGCCUCUGCCUCCCAAAGUGCUGGGAUUAGAGGCCUGAGCCACCGCGCCCAGCCGGCGGUUUCUUUCUAGGUAGACGGUGAUAUCAUCUUCGAAUUAUGACAGUUUUCUCUCAUCUUCCAAUCCUUACAUCUUUUCUUUCUUUUUCUUUCCUUAGGGCAUUGACCAGGACAGUGCAGUUCUGUGUGAAACCAUAGGGGAUUACUGAGUAUUUUUGUGUUAAUUAAUCUUGACUUAAAGGAUUAAUUAAUUAAGGAUCUUUGCAAUUUUCUUCCUCAAGUAAAAUUUUGAUGUAAGCUUUUGGUAUAUGAAAUUUACUAGUUGAGAAAGUUUCUUCCAGUCUUAAUUAGUUAAGAGGGAAAAAUCAUAAGUAGGCUUUAAAUCUUAUCAAAUUUCUUUCUGAAUAGACUGAGAUAAUUAUAUGUUUUUUUUCUUUUUACUGUGGUAGCUCAUGUUAAUAGAUUUUUUGAUGUUGAAAAAUUCUUCCCAGGGCUCUGGGAGUCUGAAGCAGGAGGAUCGCUUGAGCUCAGGAGUUUGAGACCAGCCU